rnacentral:rRNA from 1 species
CAGUAGCCGCGGGAACACGUAGGUGGCAAGCGUUGUCCGGAAUUAUUGGGCGUAAAGGGCUCGCAGGCGGUUUCUUAAGUCUGAUGUGAAAGCCCCCGGCUCAACCGGGGAGGGUCAUUGGAAACUGGGAAACUUGAGUGCAGAAGAGGAGAGUGGAGUUCCACGUGUAGCGGUGAAAUGCGUAGAGAUGUGGAGGAACACCAGUGGCGAAGGCGACUCUCUGGUCUGUAACUGACGCUGAGGAGCGAAAGCGUGGGGAGCGAACAGGAUUAGAUACCCCCGUAGUCCUGUCUCUUAUACA